AUGACUUUCUGGACCACUCAUCAGCCUUCCCCCACUCAUCUCUCCAAAACUAAAAGUGCUUACCUGGCUAUUCCUCAUGGGCAUGUUGCUCUAUGCCUUUGCUCUCCUCACUGCCCUUGUCUGGACAUUCCUCCACUCCAACCCGAAGGCUGUAUCCUUGGUCGACAUGGAGCUACUGUGAUAUCUCCCUUCUGUUCUUUGUUGCAUCAUGAGAGUUCCAGACACCCCCCCUGCUCCAGACUUGCUGACUUGGUGCCUGUGUUGGUUAGAAUUGUCAGCUGUUGGGAAAGGUGUGGAGAAAGUGAAUCAAGUGGGAAGAAGUCAACGAGUGUGAAUAAAGCUGGGCUGCAAUGAGACAGAACUAGAGCAAGAUGUCAAGGACAUGAAACGGGGGCUUGGAGAACUACUGACAGUGCAGAGGAAGGCAGGAAACUGUUUGGGCUUGCAGAGGAGUUCAGGUAUGUGUGAGCACAACCCUUGUGCUGAGCAUCUACUAUGAGCUAACAGCAACAAGGAAAGGCAGCUUCCUUAUCCAAGUAGGGGUGGGAAAACACAAGUGGCCAGUUCCUGUGCUAUUCUUCCUUGGGAAAACCCUUCUGGAUAUCAGCGAGCUCCUCACUGAUCUUUGUGCCUCUGGAUUUACAGAGUGCCUGUGUGCAUCCCCAAACCAAUGCAGCAUUUGUGACAGCUGAAUAAGUGGAGAUGGUAAACCUGAGGAGGACAGGGCCCAACAGCAUCCAUGGCAGAGCAUCACCUGGGACCGUGACAUAGCCCAUUCUUGGCUCCCCCUGCUCCUGGGAUGGGGAUGGCUACAGGGAUAAGGACAGGCUUGUUCCCAGGGUGAAUGUGGUGUUUCUGCCCUCCAUCUCCUCUCCAGGUGCUGUCUGCUAAUCUUCCCUGCUCACACCAUAAGCCCUUUUGUCUUUCCCUCCCCACUGGGCUGGGUUGAUGAAGCCAAUUUAGGAUCCCAUGUUGCUAAGCAACAAUUAUUAUCCCUGACAACAGGAAUAAAUUGAGUUUCCCCCAUCUCCA
rnacentral:lncRNA from 1 species